rnacentral:rRNA from 1 species
AUUGAACGCUGGCGGCAUGCCUUACACAUGCAAGUCGAACGGCAGCACGGGUGCUUGCUCCUGGUGGCGAGUGGCGAACGGGUGAGUAAUACAUCGGAACAUGUCCUGUAGCGGGGGAUAGCCCGGCGGAAGCCGGGUUAAUACCCCGUACGGACUACCUGCGACAGCGGGGGGGCUUGAGGCCUCGCGCUGUAGGGUUUGGCGAUGGCGGAUUUGCUCGUUGGUGGGGUAAAGGCCUACCAAGGGGACGAUCAGUAUCGGGUCUGUGAGGGCGACAAGCCACACUGGGACUGAGACACGGCCAAGACUCCUACGGGAGGCAGCAGUGGGGAAUGUUGGACAAUGGGCGAAAGCCUGAUCCAGCAAUGCCGCGUGUGUGAAGAAGGCCUUCGGGUUGUAAAGCACUUUUGUGCGUAAAGAAAUCCUUGGCCCUAAUACGGUCGGGGGAUGACGGUACCGGAAGAAUAAGCACCGGCUAACUACGUG